CCUACGGGAGGCAGCAGUGAGGAAUAUUGGUCAAUGGACGAGAGUCUGAACCAGCCAAGUAGCGUGAAGGAUGACUGCCCUAUGGGUUGUAAACUUCUUUUAUAAAGGAAUAAAACGAGGCACGUGUGCCGUUUUGCAUGGACGUUACGAAUAAGGAUCGGCUAACUCCGGGCCAGCAGCCGCGGUAAUACGGAGGAUCCGAGCUUUAUCCGGAUUUAUUGGGUUUACAGGGAGCGUAGAUGGGUUGUUAAGUCAGUUGUGAAAGUUUGCGGCUCAACCGUAAAAUUGCAAUUGAUACGGGCAGUCUUGAGUACAGUUGCGGUAGGCGGAAUUCGUGGUGUAGCGGUGAAAUGCUUAGCUAUCCCG
rnacentral:rRNA from 1 species